UACUUUCAAUGUGGCAUCACUGUUUUCGCUUGGGCCAUUAAAAAAAAUGAAAAAUCGGUAACAAGUAGAUUUCGCACAUUGUUUUAAUAAAAAAGUGUCAAUUAUAAGCGUUGCCAAACGAAAAUUACACGCACGUCAGUAUCAGCAUGUAGAAGCAAGGCAAUAUUUAUUGGCACAUACUCGUACACACAUCCGCACUUUCGUUUGGCUUUUCUAGGGUGCGGAAGGACAACAGCUUCACAAUUAUCCGUUCAUCCGCUCGUUCGCUUCAGACACGCAAAACGGAGCGUGAAAAUGAAAUAAAAAAUGUUACGGCUGCUGUUUAUUCUGAAAAAAUGAAGCGCUUGAAUAAUCUGAUAACACUCUUUACUGCAAUGGUGGCUUUUUUCUUUGGCUGCUUCUUAAGUGGCAUGCUAAAUAGCGCAGAAAAGUGUUUGACGCAUAAGAGCGGUGUCAGUCGUAUGGAGCCACAUCCAGAUAUUUUCUUGAUGAUAUUGGUGGUUACAGCUCCAAAGAAUGUUAAUCGGCGACACAAGCUGCGUCAAACUUGGUUGAGGCGUGGGCAACCGCUCGAAAUGCCUUACUACCCGGAAAGCUUGAUAUAUGUGCCCAAGUAUGCUGAAAGUGGUCAUUUAAUUAUGGAAAGCGUGACGGACCAAUCGAAUCGUUUGGCAGCUUACCUUCAUUGGAUCGAUAACAACAUGAAUCAUGAAGAAUUAUCGCGGAGACUUAUAAAAGUGAAACAUUUUUUUGCCGUUGGCACGGAAGGCAUGCCUGCCGGCUUACGUGCAGAGUUGGAUAGGGAGCAAAAACUUUAUGGAGACAUGUUGCUUUUACCGCGUUUGCAAGACAACUUUGAAAAUUUAACCGAAAAGAUGUUACAUUCUAUAGAAGCACUUACAAAUCACUACGAAUUCAGCUAUCUACUUAAAACGGAUGAUGACACGUACGUGAAGUUGAACAUUUUGCUGAAUGAACUCGUGUCUUAUGACCGUAAAUUGGUGCGAAAAACCACGAAGUAUAAUGGCCAACCAUUACCAGCUCUCUACUGGGGCUAUUUUCAAGGAAGGUCGAAUGUGAAAACAAAAGGAAAGUGGCGGGAUAUAAACUACCGUCUAUCUACCCAUUAUAUAACGUAUGCCAUGGGAGGUGGAUAUGUGAUUUCACGUAAAAUCUGUGAACAUAUUGCAACAAAUGCACAAAUACUUUCGCCUUAUACAAAUGAAGAUGUAUCAGUUGGUUUAUGGGUGGCUCCGUUACGCUUUGUCUAUCGUCGUCAUGAUCCACGUUUUGAUACACAGUAUAAACCGCGGAAGUGCCGUCGAUAUCACAUAGUACUGCACAAGCUAAACGAGGAGGAAAUGCAGCAGAUAGAUGACGGCAGUGUAUGUAUAAGAGGUGGAAAGGCAAUUGAUGACAAAGACCAAAGCAAUAUCAUUAAGCCUUAUUUUUAUGAUUGGUUGAGCCCGGCUGAUAAAUGCUGUGAUACAAUCGUAAAGUAGGCAGUAAUAAUCUUAAACAUGCAAAAAACCAAUCCGAGCAGAGGCUUUACUAUUUCUGCAUACAUACAUAUCCAACAAUUAUUUUUGUAAAUGUUGGUAAAAGUAACUUAAAAAAGCUUUCAUAGCACUGAUAACAUAAAUCGCAAGUGAUUCGAAAUAUAUCUAUAUCAGCAAAAAAAUUGCACACUUACCGAUGGUCAACUAGCCAUUUGACCCUAUCAUCCGUUUCGUAAAGACUUGCAACGACUAUAUCCUUUGGUGCAACAAUAAAAUAACGAUUUUCCUCAAUAAUACAUCCUAAACUGUAA